UACAGGAGGUCCCGAGCGUUGUUCGGAUUUACUGGGGCGUAAAGGGCGCGUAGGCGGCGCGGUAAGUCACUUGUGAAAUCUCUGAGCUUAACUCAGAACGGCCAAGUGAUACUGCAGUGCUAGAGGUGAUGGAAGGGGCAUCGGAAUUCUUGGAUGUAGCGGUGAAAUGACGGUAGAUAUCGAAAGAGGGAACACCUGGACGGUGAAGACGGGUUGCUGGGCCAACACUGA
rnacentral:rRNA from 1 species